GCUGUCGAAGACCUGGAGCGCUGCCCUGUCAGUAAAAGUGCCGCAGCAGGUGGCGCUUUUUUCCCCCCAGAAAAUACCAUCCUAGCCACCAUGGAUGUAGAGGCUCUCUACACAAACAUCCCACACACAGAUGGAAUACAAGCUGUCAGGAACAGUAUCCCUGAUGAUGACACAGCACAACUUAUUGCUGAGCUAUGUGACUUUAUCCUCACGCACAAUUAUUUCAAAUUUGGUGACAAUAUAUACCUCCAGACCAGUGGCACCGCUAUGGGCACCCGCAUGGCCCCACAAUAUGCCAACAUUUUUAUGGCUGACCUGGAACAACGCAUCCUCAGCUCUCGUCCACUCAUGCCCAUUCUCUACCUAUGCUAUAUUGAUGACAUCUUCAUCAUCUGGACCCAUGGGAAGGAGACCCUGGAAGAAUUCCACCAUGAUUUUAACAGCUUCCACCCCACCAUCAACCUCAGCCUGGACCAAUCUACACGGGAGGUCCACUUCCUAGACACCACCGUACAAAUAAGUGAUGGCCACAUUAACACCACCCUACACCGAAAACCCACCGACUGCUACGCCUACCUUCAUGCCUCCAGCUUCCACCCCGGUCACACCACACAAUCCAUCGUCUACAGCCAAGCACUGAGGUACAAUCGCAUCUGCUCCAACCCCUCAGACAGAGACCAACACCUACAAGAUCUUCACCAAGCAUUCUCAAAACUACAAUACCCACACAAGGAAAUAAAGAAACAAAUCAACAGAGCCAGACGUGUACCCAGAAGCCUCCUGCUACAAGACAGGCCCAAAAGAGAAACCAACAGAACUCCACUGGCCAUCACCUACAGUCCUCAGCUUAAACCUCUCCAAUGCAUCAUCAGUGAUCUACAACCCAUCCUGGACAAUGACCCUCACUUUCACAGAUCUUGGGAGGCAGGCCAGUCCUCGCCCACAGACAACCUGCCAACCUUAAGCAUAUUCUCACCAGCAACCACGCACCGCACCAUAACAACUCUAACUCAGGAACCAACCCAUGCAACAAACCUCAAUGCCAACUCUGCCCACAUAUCUACAUCAGCAACACCAUCACAGGACCUAACCAGAUCAGCUACAACAUCACCGGCUUAUUCACCUGCACGUCCACCAAUGUUAUAUAUGCCAUCAUAUGCCAGCAAUGCCCCUCUGCUAUGUACAUUGGCCAAACUGGACAGUCACUACGCAAGAGGAUAAAUGGACACAAGUCAGAUAUCAGGAAUGGUAAUAUACAAAAACCUGUAGGAGAACACUUUAACCUCCCUGGCCACACAAUAGCAGAUGUAAAGGUAGCCAUCUUACAGCACAAAAACUUCAGGACCAGACUCCAAAGAGAAACUGCUGAGCUCCAGUUCAUUUGCAAAUUUGACACCAUCAGAUCAGGAUUAAACAAAGACUGUGAAUGGCUAUCCAGCUACAGAAGCAGUUUCUCCUCCCUUGGUGUUCACACCACAACUGCUAGCAGAGCACCUCAACCUCCCUGAUUGAACUAACCUCGUUAUCUCCAUACUGAUUUAUAACUGCCUCUGGAGAUUUCCAUUACUUGCAUCUGAAGAAGUGAGGUUCUUACCCACGAAAGCUUAUGUUCCCAAUACUUCUGUUAGUCUUAAAGGUGCCACAGGAC
rnacentral:lncRNA from 1 species